rnacentral:rRNA from 1 species
UACGAAGGGGGCUAGCGUUGCUCGGAUUGGCUGGGCGUAAAGGGCGCGUAGGCGGUUCGUACAGUCAGACGUGAAAUUCCUGGGCUCAACCUGGGGGCUGCGUUUGAUACGUGCGGACUUAAGUGCGGAAGAGGGUCGUGGAAUUCCCAGUGUAGAGGUGAAAUUCGUAGAUAUUGGGAAGAACACCGGUGGCGAAGGCGGCGACCUGGUCCGAUACUGACGCUGAGGCGCGAAAGCGUGGGGAGCAAACAGG